UACGGAGGGUGCAAGCGUCAUCCGGAUUCACUGGGUUUAAAGGGAGCGCAGGCGGAUUGGUAAGUCAGUGGUGAAAGGCUUAAGCUUAACUUGGGAACUGCCAUUGAUACUAUCAGUCUUGAAUGUUGUUGAGGUUUGCGGAAUGGGUCAUGUAGCGGUGAAAUGCAUAGAUAUGACCCGGAACACCUAUUGCGAAGGCAGCAGGCUAAACAAAUAUUGACGCUGAGGCUCGAAAGCGUGGGGAUCAAACAGG
rnacentral:rRNA from 1 species